GCCGGCGUGGCGAAAUGGCAGACGCAACGGACUUAAAAUCCGUUGAUCCGAAAGGGUCGUGCGGGUUCGAGUCCCGCCGCCGGCA
rnacentral:tRNA from 1 species